rnacentral:tRNA from 2 species
GGGCAGUUAGCUCAGCUGGCUAGAGCUCUCCGUUUACACCGGAGUGGUCGGGGGUUCGAAUCCCUCACUGCCCA